GACGAACGCUGGCGGCGUGCCUAAUACAUGCGAGUAGAACGCACAGUUUAUACCGUAGCUUGCUCCACCAUAAACUGUGAGUUGCGAACGGGUGAGUAACGCGUAGGUAACCUGCCUGGUAGCGGGGGAUAACUAUUGGAAACGAUAGCUAAUACCGCAUAAUAUUAAUUAUUGCAUGAUAAUUGAUUGAAAGAUGCAAUUGCAUCACUACCAGAUGGACCUGCGUUGUAUUAGCUAGUAGGUGAGGUAACGGCUCACCUAGGCGACGAUACAUAGCCGACCUGAGAGGGUGAUCGGCCACACUGGGACUGAGACACGGCCCAGACUCCUACGGGAGGCAGCAGUAGGGAAUCUUCGGCAAUGGACGAAAGUCUGACCGAGCAACGCCGCGUGAGUGAAGAAGGUUUUCGGAUCGUAAAGCUCUGUUGUAAGAGAAGAACGGGUGUGAGAGUGGAAAGUUCACACUGUGACGGUAUCUUACCAGAAAGGGACGGCUAACUACGUG
rnacentral:rRNA from 1 species